GGGUGAGUAACGCGUGAGUAACCUGCCUUACACAAGGGGAUAGCCUCUGGAAACGGAGAAUAAUACCCUAUAAAACCAUCAAAUCGCAUGAAGUGAUGGUCAAAGUGUUAGCGGUGUAAGAUGGACUUGCGUCUGAUUAGCUAGUUGGUGAGAAAAAAGCCCACCAAGGCAACGAUCAGUAGCCGGCUUGAGAGAGUGUACGGCCACAUUGGGACUGAGACACGGCCCAGACUCCUACGGGAGGCAGCAGUGGGGAAUUUUGCACAAUGGGGGAAACCCUGAUGCAGCGACGCCGCGUGAUUUAGAAGGCCUUCGGGUUGUAAAAAUCUUUUGUAUAGGAAGAAAAUGACAGUACUAUACGAAUAAGGUCCGGCUAACUACGUGCCAGC
rnacentral:rRNA from 1 species